rnacentral:lncRNA from 1 species
UUUUUCUUUCAGUUUUAUCUCGUUUUAGUUUUAUCUCGUUUCAGUUUAUUUCGUUUUCAGUUUUCUUCUUUUUCAGUUUAUUUUUGUUUCAGUUUAUUUUAUUGGUCUUGAUAAGGAAAAUAGGUAAGUUCUCAAUUCCCUGUGGAUUCGAUCCUUUCACCACUAUCUGUAGUUGUAAAUUGUUGAUAACCAGAAAGGUUAUUUUUGACCGGCUUUGACAACCGCGAGUCAGAUGCUCAUCAAUUUGCUGAAAAACCCCGAUUCUCACAUAAAAUCAGAACUAGCAGACCCAGUGGAAGAUGUCCAAUUAAGUAUAGAGAAAAAGGUACGGUUUGAGACCGCGUUAAAUGGUGAAAUAAAAAAUCAUUUAGUAGAAUUAUUAAAAGGUAGAGUGAGCACUUUUGCUUGGUCUCUAGA